rnacentral:rRNA from 1 species
GAUGAACGCUAGCGAUAGGCCUAACACAUGCAAGUCGAGGGGCAUCACAUGAAGUAGCAAUACGGAUGGUGGCGACCGGCGCACGGGUGAGUAACACGUAUGCAACCUGCCUUCAACAAGGGGAUAACCCGUUGAAAGACGGACUAAUACCCUAUAACACAGGGGUCCCGCAUGGGAAUAUUUGUUAAAGGACAACCGGUUGAAGAUGGGCAUGCGUUCCAUUAGCUAGUUGGCGGGGUAACGGCCCACCAAGGCAACGAUGGAUAGGGGAACUGAGAGGUUUAUCCCCCACACUGGUACUGAGACACGGACCAGACUCCUACGGGAGGCAGCAGUGAGGAAUAUUGGUCAAUGGACGCAAGUCUGAACCAGCCACGUCGCGUGAAGGAAGACGGCCCUACGGGUUGUAAACUUCUUUUAUACGGGAAUAAAGUGCCCCACGCGUGGGGUUUUGCAUGUACCGUAU